UUAAACAGAUAAAGAUCCUCUGUUGACUGCAGACCACCACAAGUUCCAAGCUCAACAGUGGACCACAGCUUCAGUUUAAAAUUCAUGUGUUGUUUCCACCACUAUAGAUGCCUGCCAGUAUUUCUGCUGAUCGAUUUUUGCUGCUGCCAUGAGCUGUGAAACUGACACCCACAGGGGCCAGUAGCUAGCACCAGAACAGACUCUGGGAAAGGUAAAAAGGCACAUGAUGGCAGCAGAGCACUGAGGAGCCCGCUUGCCUCCAGUACCAUCAAAGAGCACAAUAACUGGCUACUGCAAGAAUUUAGUCUAACCAGAAUGACAGCCACAAACAAACUGCAUUAAAUGUAGGCACAUAUAAUAAUGAUGCUUAAGGAAUAGAACCUGUAUCUCUGUGCAUGAUUGUUUGUGAAUAUUUCCUUGCUGCCUUAUUUUCUACAAAACACAUACUUUAGUGUUAGGUGUCAGCAUGGGUUAGAAAGGUCAGUUCAACAUACAAAAUAAAACUUUUUUUUUUAAGUUGCA
rnacentral:lncRNA from 1 species